GACGAACGCUGGCGGCGCGCUUAACACAUGCAAGUCGAGCGAAGCGGCGGACGGGUGAGUAACACGUGAGUAACCUGCCUUAGACAUUGGGAUAGCCUCGGGAAACCGGGAUUAAUACCAAAUGGUCUAAGAUGGACUCGCGUCCCAUUAGCUGGUUGGUGAGGUAACGGCCCACCAAGGCGACGAGGGGUAGCCGGCCUGAGAGUGUGGACGGCCACAUUGGAACUGGGCAGCUGUCCAAACUCUAUGGGAGGCAGCAGUGGUGAAUAUUGCACAGUGGAGUGAACUCUGAUGCAGCGACGCCGCGUGAACGAAGAAGGCUUUCGAGUCGUAAAGUUCUUUUAUAUGGGAAGCGGUACCAUAAGAAAGAGCCCCGGCUAACUACGUGCCAGCAGCCGCGGUAAUAC
rnacentral:rRNA from 1 species